UAGUUUACGACUUCAUGUGUCUCCCUCGGC
rnacentral:piRNA from 1 species